GUAGUCCACGCCGUAAACGAUGAGUGCUAAGUGUUAGAGGGUUUCCGCCCUUUAGUGCUGCAGCUAACGCAUUAAGCACUCCGCCUGGGGAGUACGGUCGCAAGACUGAAACUCAAAGGAAUUGACGGGGGCCCGCACAAGCGGUGGAGCAUGUGGUUUAAUUCGAAGCAACGCGAAGAACCUUACCAGGUCUUGACAUCCUCUGCCACCUCUAGAGAUAGAGCGUUCCCCUUCGGGGGACAGAGUGACAGGUGGUGCAUGGUUGUCGUCAGCUCGUGUCGUGAGAUGUUGGGUUAAGUCCCGCAACGAGCGCAACCCUUGUUCUUAGUUGCCAGCAUUCAGUUGGGCACUCUAAGGAGACUGCCGGUGACAAACCGGA
rnacentral:rRNA from 1 species